rnacentral:rRNA from 1 species
GAUGAACGCUGGCGGCGUGCUUAAUACAUGCAAGUCGAGCGAGGACCACCCGGUGGCAACACCGGGUGACUCCUAGCGGCGAACGGGUGAGUAACCCGUGGGCAACCUGCCCCCGACUCUGGGAUACGCCCGGGAAACUGGGUCUAAUACAGGAUACGAGCCUCCUCCGCAUGGUGGAGGUCGGAAAGGGUCUCCGGUCGGGGAUGGGCCCGCGGCCUAUCAGCUUGUUGGUGGGGUGACGGCCCACCAAGGCGACGACGGGUAGCCGGCCUGAGAGGGUGAACGGCCACAUUGGGACUGAGACACGGCCCAGACUCCUACGGGAGGCAGCAGUAGGGAAUCUUGCGCAAUGGGCGAAAGCCUGACGCAGCGACGCCGCGUGCGGGACGAAGGCCCUCGGGUUGUAAACCGCUUUCAGCAGGGACGAAGCGAAAGUGACGGUACCUGCAGAAGAAGGUCCGGCCAACUACGUGCCAGCCGCCGCCGUAAUAC